UCCGGUUUGGCACCGGCAGUCUCCCUAGAGUGCCCGGCGUGACCCGCUGGUAACUAGGGACGGGGGUUGCGCUCGUUGCGGGACUUAACCCAACAUCUCACGACACGAGCUGACGACAGCCAUGCAGCACCUGUGCUGAGGCUCCGAAGAGGGCCCCCCGUUUCUGGGGGGUUUCCUCAGCAUGUCAAGCCCAGGUAAGGUUCUUCGCGUUGCGUCGAAUUGAACCACAUGCUCCGCUGCUUGUGCGGGUCCCCGUCAAUUCCUUUGAGUUUUAGCCUUGCGGCCGUACUCCCCAGGCGGGGCACUUAAUGCGUUAGCUGCGGCACGGGAGGAGUCGACACCUCCCACACCUAGUGCCCAUCGUUUACAGCGUGGACUAC
rnacentral:misc_RNA from 1 species